rnacentral:lncRNA from 1 species
ACCAUGGAUUCUGAAAUUUUUUCGGUAAACUGACCCCUAUACACUUUUUCAGCUAUAAUUUUUAGUACAAAAUGUGAAUUCAAGCAGGAACUAUUUUGUUUGAAAUUAGACUCUUAUAACUUUCUUUUGACACUGAUUUUGUAGAUUUUGGACACCGAAUACUUACCCAAUCAUCUGUUUCAAACGAGCCUAUAGAUGCUGCAAAACAGGGAUCAAGAUUUCUGACCUUUCGAUACUAAAAUGC